rnacentral:rRNA from 1 species
AACGAACGCUGGCGGCAUGCCUAACACAUGCAAGUCGAACGAGACCUUCGGGUCUAGUGGCGCACGGGUGCGUAACGCGUGGGAACCUGCCCUUAGGUUCGGAAUAACUCCCCGAAAGGGGUGCUAAUACCGGAUAAUGUCUUCGGACCAAAGAUUUAUCGCCUUUGGAUGGGCCCGCGUUGGAUUAGCUAGUUGGUAGGGUAAAAGCCUACCAAGGCGACGAUCCAUAGCUGGUCUGAGAGGAUGAUCAGACACACUGGGACUGAGACACGGCCCAGACUCCUGCGGGAGGCAGCAGUGGGGAAUAUUGGACGUUGGGCGAAAGCCUGAUCCAGCAAUGCCGCGUGAGUUAUGAAGGCCUUAGGGUUGUAAAGCUCUUUUACCCUGGAUGAUAAUGACAUUACCGGGUGAAUAAGCUCCGGCUAACUCCGUG